AACGAACGCUGGCGGCAGGCUUAACACAUGCAAGUCGAGCGCCCCGCAAGGGGAGCGGCAGACGGGUGAGUAACACGUGGGAAUCUACCCAUCUCUACGGAAUAACGCAUGGAAACGUGUGCUAAUACCGUAUACGUCCUUCGGGAGAAAGAUUUAUCGGAGAUGGAUGAGCCCGCGUUGGAUUAGCUAGUUGGUGGGGUAAAGGCCUACCAAGGCGACGAUCCAUAGCUGGUCUGAGAGGAUGAUCAGCCACACUGGGACUGAGACACGGCCCAGACUCGUACGAGAGGCAGCUGUGGGGAGUAUUGGACGAUGGGCGCAAGCCGGAUCCAGCCAUGCCGCGUGAGUGAUGAAGGCCCUAGGGUUGUAAAGCUCUUUCACCGGUGAAGAUAAUGACGGUAACCGGAGAGGAAGCCCCGGCUAACUUCGUGCCAGCCACCGCAGGAAAAC
rnacentral:rRNA from 1 species